AUGGACAGAGGAGCCUGGUGGGCUACAGUCCAUGGGGUCACAAAAGAGGUGGAUACAACUUUAGCAACUGAACACAAGGAGGAGGAAGGGAAUGUGAGUUCUACAAGAAGCCUCAUAAUCAAAACAUCAUGUCUCAAUUUUUUCACCUACAAAAUAGUAAUAUUUUGUUUCCGAAGGUGGGAAGUUUUUGAAAAAGUAUAAAAACUAUGCAGCUUGUAUUGUUAUCAAUACAAGUUCACCUCAGACCUGAUCAAUAUUUAUGGCAAAAUGUAAGAAAAAUAACAAACUAAAGAUAUCUCCUUCUGAAAGGCUGGUGAGUUCUAAAAAGUUCACUAUCUCUUAUAUGUGGAAUCUAAAAAAAAAAAAAAAGAUACAAAUGAACUUAUACAAAACAGAAAUAGACCCACAGACAUAGAAAACAAACUAUGGUUACCAAAGGGAAAGGGGAAUGGAGGAAUAAAUUAGGAAUUUGGGAUUAACAUGUACACACUAGUACAUAUACAAUAGGUAACCAUCAAGGGCCUUCUGUGUAGCAUAGAAAACAAUACUUAUAUAUACAGAGAACUAUACUGUAAUAACUUAUAAAGGAAAAGAAACAGAAAAUAUACAUAUAUAUGUGUACAUAUAUACAUAUAUACACACACAUAUAUAUAUAUAUAUAACCCUGAAUCACUUUGUUGUACACAACAGUGUAAAUGAACUAUAUUUCAAUUAAAAAACAAAGGGCACUAUUUGGAAUGAGCACAGGAAUGAAAACACAGCAGAGGGCAGGAGCAACAGGAAGCCCAUUAAUAAAGCAAAUUCCCAGGGCCCUAAACCAGGACUUCUGAAUCAGAACCGAGGAUGAGGCCUGCCCGCAGUGCUUGACAAACCCUGCCCCCUCCCCCAGGUGAAUCUGACGCAGGCUCAGUUGGAGAAGCACGUGCCUAAGCCUUUAAUACCAGGCAUUCUUCAUCUGGUGGUUCAGGGAGCCAAAGCCAAGUCAUCACGCCGAGGACAAGGAAGCAACCGACUGACCAUGUCCAGAUUACAAGGUCACCAUGAUGUCUGACUCAGUUGCUCAGUCGCAUCCAGCUCUUCUGACCUCAUGAAUCUGUAGCCGCCUCUGUCCAUGGAAUCUCCAGGCUAGAAUCCUGGAGCUGGUUGCCACUUCCAGGUGAUCUUCCUGACUCAGGGGUCACACCUGCAUCUCCUGCAUCUCCUGCAGUGGCAGAGUUUCAAGACUCAAAGCUUAGUACUCGCAAUGUGGCUAAGAAGCUAGAAGAAAUAAAAUGAUAUGCAGAGUUUGGAACAAUGUGCCCAAAAUAACAAAAUUUUACAGAACAUAACAUAAUGUUUUGCAUUUAGAAAUAAAUUGCUCAGAUAUGAACUGGGGAAGAUAUUGGACUUAAUCAAUGUAACUUCACAGGGCAAAAUGAAAACACAUGGAUGGAAGUUAAGGAAGCCAAUUUUGUGCAAUGUCAGAAAGAACUUCUUGGUGUUAUAAAAAUGCUUGUUGAAAUACAGAUGGAAAACUGCCACUUGGAAACCAUGCAUCCACCAGAUUAUAGUAGCAUCAGUGAAAUCUGGGAUACUGGACUUCCUCCUUGCCCCAGUCUAGACUGAGCUUGUUUACUGCUGAACAGUAUUUUAUCUAACAAUAUGAAUCUUUAAAAAAAAAAAGUUGAGAUGUCAUGUCAAACUCAAAAGAAAAUUAAGAAAAGUUAUUUUAAUG